rnacentral:rRNA from 1 species
UACGUAGGGCGCAAGCGUUGUCCGGAAUUAUUGGGCGUAAAGAGCUCGUAGGCGGUCUGUUACGUCCGCUGUGAAAACCCAGGGCUUAACCCUGGGCUUGCAGUGGAUACGGGUAGACUAGAGGCAGGUAGGGGAGAAUGGAAUUCCCGGUGUAGCGGUGAAAUGCGUAGAUAUUGGGAAGAACACCUGAGGCGAAGGCGGGUUGCUGGGCCGACACUGACGCUGAGGCGCGAAAGCCAGGGGAGCAAACGGG